AAGCUGUGUUAUGGAGUGUUAUGGCUCCAGCCAGGCCAUCAUUAGAUGUGAUGAAGCUUCAGAUAACCUAUUGAACCCAGCUUCGUCACAAAUGUAUGUGUAUGGUAAACACUUUAUUGCAGACCACCAUUGUCCCUGUACCGAAGAAACCUUCCAUCACCUGCCUGAAUGACUACCACCCUGUAGCACUGACCUCCACCAUCAUGAAAUGCUUUCAGAACUCACAUCUGCGCCACCCUUCCUGACACCUUGGACCCCUUUCAAUUUGCAUACCGCCCUGAUUGAUCUACGGACAAUGCCAUCGCUCUGACAACACACACCGCCCUCUCCCAUCUGGACAAAGGCAACACAUAUGUGAGGAUGCUGUCCGUGCACUACAGCUCUGCAUUCAGCACUAUUGUGCCCACCAAGCUUGUUCCUAUGCUCAGGACCCUGGGACUUAACACCUUUCUCUGCAAUUGACGGGCAGAACCCAGGUGGUGAGAAUGGGCAAUCUCACCUCUACAAUGACACUGAGCACUGGAGCCCCCCAGGGCUGCGUACUGAGUCCCCUCCUGUACUCCCAGGUCAUGCAUGACUGCAUGGCCACACACAGCUCCAACAUCAUCCUCAAAUUCGGGAUGACACUACCAUCCUGGGUCUCAUCUCCAGCAACGAUGAGACUGUUUACAGAGAGGAGGUAAAGAACCUGGCUACAUGGUGCCAGGACAACAACCUCUCUCUCAACAUCUGCAAGACUAAAGAGAUUAUCAUGGACUUUCAGGAAAUGGCAGAGGAGGGUCAAGCCCCCACAUACACAUCGAUGGAGCUAAAGUGGAGAAAGUCUCCUAAUUCAAGUUUCUCUGUGUGUUCAUCAAAGAUGACCUCACUUGGUCCAGUGAACUUGGCAGUGAAAACUGCCCAAAAACAGCUAAACUUCCUAAGGAGACUCAAGACGUUGGCAUGUCUGUAAAAACUCUCACCAAUGUCUACAGGUGCACCAUUGAAAGCAUCCUCUCAGGCUGCAUCACUGCCUGGUACGGCAGCCUCUCCGCUGCGGACCGCAAGUCCCGCAUCGUUGGCUGCCAUCUCCCCUCCGUGCAAGGCAUCUACCAUACACGAUGCCUUAGGAAAGCACGGAACAUCAUCAAAGAUCACAGCCACCCAGGCUAUGGUCUGUUCACACUGCUGCCGUCUGUAGA
ensembl:lncRNA